AGAUUUUGAUAUGUUUUCAAAGAAUUGCUUUCGUGAUUGCAAUUCCACAUGCAGUUUAUAGGUUAUGUAAACGCACUUAAAAUAUUUGCGAAAGCUUAAUAGUCUUCACUUGUAAUCACACGCCGCACAACUGAAAAAAGGUAAUGAGAAGAAAGAAAACGUUGGGAAGGAAAAAAAUUUAAAAAAUGAUCGAUCGAGUCCCCUCAUCAAGC